GGUUAAGCGACUAAGCGUACACGGUGGAUGCCCUGGCAGUCAGAGGCGAUGAAGGACGUGCUAAUCUGCGAAAAGCGUCGGUAAGGUGAUAUGAACCGUUAUAACCGGCGAUGUCCGAAUGGGGAAACCCAGUGUGAUUCGUCACACUAUCGUUAACUGAAUACAUAGGUUAACGAGGCGAACCGGGGGAACUGAAACAUCUAAGUACCCCGAGGAAAAGAAAUCAACCGAGAUUCCCCCAGUAGCGGCGAGCGAACGGGGAGCAGCCCAGAGUCUGAAUCAGCUUGUGUGUUAGUGGAACGGUCUGGAAAGUCCGACGGUACAGGGUGAUAGUCCCGUACACCAAAAUGCACAGGUUGUGAACUCGAAGAGUAGGGCGGGACACGUGGUAUCCUGUCUGAAUAUGGGGGGACCAUCCUCCAAGGCUAAAUACUCCUGACUGACCGAUAGUGAACCAGUACCGUGAGGGAAAGGCGAAAAGAACCCCGGCGAGGGGAGUGAAAAAGAACCUGAAACCGUGUACGUACAAGCAGUGGGAGCCUCUUUAUGGGGUGACUGCGUACCUUUUGUAUAAUGGGUCAGCGACUUAUAUUCUGUAGCAAGGUUAACCGUAUAGGGGAGCCGCAGGGAAACCGAGUCUUAACUGGGCGUUAAGUUGCAGGGUAUAGACCCGAAACCCGGUGAUCUAGCCAUGGGCAGGUUGAAGGUUGGGUAACACUAACUGGAGGACCGAACCGACUAAUGUUGAAAAAUUAGCGGAUGACUUGUGGCUGGGGGUGAAAGGCCAAUCAAACCGGGAGAUAGCUGGUUCUCCCCGAAAGCUAUUUAGGUAGCGCCUCGUGAACUCAUCUUCGGGGGUAGAGCACUGUUUCGGCUAGGGGGUCAUCCCGACUUACCAACCCGAUGCAAACUACGAAUACCGAAGAAUGUUAUCACGGGAGACACACGGCGGGUGCUAACGUCCGUCGUGAAGAGGGAAACAACCCAGACCGCCAGCUAAGGUCCCAAAGUCAUGGUUAAGUGGGAAACGAUGUGGGAAGGCACAGACAGCCAGGAUGUUGGCUUAGAAGCAGCCAUCAUUUAAAGAAAGCGUAAUAGCUCACUGGUCGAGUCGGCCUGCGCGGAAGAUGUAACGGGGCUAAACCAUGCACCGAAGCUGCGGCAGCGACACUAUGUGUUGUUGGGUAGGGGAGCGUUCUGUAAGCCUGCGAAGGUGACCUGUGAGGGUUGCUGGAGGUAUCAGAAGUGCGAAUGCUGACAUAAGUAACGAUAAAGCGGGUGAAAAGCCCGCUCGCCGGAAGACCAAGGGUUCCUGUCCAACGUUAAUCGGGGCAGGGUGAGUCGACCCCUAAGGCGAGGCCGAAAGGCGUAGUCGAUGGGAAACAGGUUAAUAUUCCUGUACUUGGUGUUACUGCGAAGGGGGGACGGAGAAGGCUAUGUUAGCCGGGCGACGGUUGUCCCGGUUUAAGCAUGUAGGCGGAGGUUCCAGGUAAAUCCGGUACCUUUUAACGCUGAGGUGUGAUGACGAGGCACUACGGUGCUGAAGUAACAAAUGCCCUGCUUCCAGGAAAAGCCUCUAAGCAUCAGGUAACAUUAAAUCGUACCCCAAACCGACACAGGUGGUCAGGUAGAGAAUACCAAGGCGCUUGAGAGAACUCGGGUGAAGGAACUAGGCAAAAUGGUGCCGUAACUUCGGGAGAAGGCACGCUGAUAUGUAGGUGAAGUCCCUGCGGAUGGAGCUGAAAUCAGUCGAAGAUACCAGCUGGCUGCAACUGUUUAUUAAAAACACAGCACUGUGCAAACACGAAAGUGGACGUAUACGGUGUGACGCCUGCCCGGUGCCGGAAGGUUAAUUGAUGGGGUUAUCCGUAAGGAGAAGCUCUUGAUCGAAGCCCCGGUAAACGGCGGCCGUAACUAUAACGGUCCUAAGGUAGCGAAAUUCCUUGUCGGGUAAGUUCCGACCUGCACGAAUGGCGUAAUGAUGGCCAGGCUGUCUCCACCCGAGACUCAGUGAAAUUGAACUCGCUGUGAAGAUGCAGUGUACCCGCGGCAAGACGGAAAGACCCCGUGAACCUUUACUAUAGCUUGACACUGAACAUUGAGCCUUGAUGUGUAGGAUAGGUGGGAGGCUUUGAAGCGUGGACGCCAGUCUGCGUGGAGCCAACCUUGAAAUACCACCCUUUAAUGUUUGAUGUUCUAACGUAGACCCCUAAUCGGGGUUGCGGACAGUGUCUGGUGGGUAGUUUGACUGGGGCGGUCUCCUCCCAAAGAGUAACGGAGGAGCACGAAGGUUAGCUAAUCCUGGUCGGACAUCAGGAGGUUAGUGCAAUGGCAUAAGCUAGCUUGACUGCGAGCGUGACGGCGCGAGCAGGUGCGAAAGCAGGUCAUAGUGAUCCGGUGGUUCUGAAUGGAAGGGCCAUCGCUCAACGGAUAAAAGGUACUCCGGGGAUAACAGGCUGAUACCGCCCAAGAGUUCAUAUCGACGGCGGUGUUUGGCACCUCGAUGUCGGCUCAUCACAUCCUGGGGCUGAAGUAGGUCCCAAGGGUAUGGCUGUUCGCCAUUUAAAGUGGUACGCGAGCUGGGUUUAGAACGUCGUGAGACAGUUCGGUCCCUAUCUGCCGUGGGCGCUGGAGAAUUGAGGGGGGCUGCUCCUAGUACGAGAGGACCGGAGUGGACGCAUCACUGGUGUUCGGGUUGUCAUGCCAAUGGCAUUGCCCGGUAGCUAAAUGCGGAAGAGAUAAGUGCUGAAAGCAUCUAAGCACGAAACUUGCCCCGAGAUGAGUUCUCCCUGAGACUAUAAGUCUCCUGAAGGAACGUUGAAGACGACGACGUUGAUAGGCCGGGUGUGUAAGCGCAGCGAUGCGUUGAGCUAACCGGUACUAAUGAACCGUGAGGCUUAACCUU
rnacentral:rRNA from 1 species